ACGUUUCCUUCCUGAUACCCCUGUUAUUUGGCUGAAUAAACUCCUGACGAAAAUUCCAACAUUGUUGCAGACCUUGGCCAGCAGCGACUGCUGAUGAUAUACAUAGAAAAAGACAGAUCCUCAAAAAUAACAAGUUUUACUUUUAAAAGCAGAUUCGGCCCUGUUUGCUGCAUAAUUUCGUCGGUGCCUCCAAUGGCGUCGUCCAUCAUGGCGACGGCCGCCAGCCGUUUCAAAAUGGCCCGUCAAAGUGACUAAGUGACAGGCACCUGCCGCAUGUGAUUCGGCCCUGUCUGCUGCAUAAUGUCGUCGGUGUCUCCAAUGGCGUCGUCCAUCAUGGCGACGGCCGGCAGCCGUUUCAAAAUGGCUCGCCAAUGCACCUGCCGUACGCACCUGCUGGCGAGUCUUAUCAGAUUCG